rnacentral:lncRNA from 1 species
GGUUCCUAUGGGACCACAUUUGGGAUCCUUGGUGGUCUACCAUGUCCCAGUUGCUCCCCAUGGAGAUAUAGGGUCAGAUUUUGGGGUCCUAUGGGACCACAUUUGGGAUCCUUGGUGUUCCACCAUAUCCCACUGUCUCCCCAUAGCGAUGUAGGGUCAGAUUUUGGGGUCCUUUGGGAUCCUUGGUGUUCCAGCGUGCCCCAAUGUCUCCCCAUGGUGAUGUACAGUCAACUUUUGGGUUCCUUUGGGACCACAUUUGGGAUCCUUGGUGUUCCACCAUAUCCCAAUUGUUCCCCAUGGAGAUGUAGGGUCAACUUUUGGGGUCCUAUGGGACCUCAUUUGGGAUCCUUGGUGUUCCACCAUAUCCAAGUGUCUCCCAAUGGAGAUAUAGGGUCAGCUUUUGGGACCGCAUUUGGGAUCCUUGGUCUUGCAGCAUAUCGCAGUUGCUCCCCGUGGAGAUAUAGGGUCAGAUUUUGGGGUCCUAUGGGACCACAUUUGGGAUCCUUGGUGUUCCGCCAUAUCCCACUGUCUCCCUAUAGAGAUAUGGGGUCAACUUUUGGGGUCCUUUGGGACCACAUUUGGGAUCCUUGGUGUUCCGCCAUAUCCCACCUUCUCCCCAUAGAAAUAUAGGGUCAACUUUUGGGCUCCUAUGGGACCACAUUUGAGCUCCUCAGAUGUCCCCCAACCUACCGCUCUGCCCCGGGAUCCCCUUUGGGACCCCAUUUAGGACCGUGAUGGCGACCCCCACACCCCCCUACCCCCCAUAGAGAUGUAGGGUCAACUUUUGGGGUCCUAUGGGACCACAUUUGGGAUCCUUGGUGUUCCACCAUAUCCCACUGUCUCCCCAUGGAGAUGUAGGGUCAGAUUUGGGUUCCUUUGGGACCACAUUUGGGAUCCUUGGUUGUCCAGUGUCUCCCAGUGUCUCCCCAUAGAGAUGUAGGGUCAACCUUUGGGUUCCUUUGGGACCACACAUGAGCUCCUCAGAUGUCCCCCAACCUACCGCUCUGCCCCGGGAUCCCCUUUGGGACCCCAUUUAGGGUCGGUGAUGGCGACCCCCCCUACCCCCCUACCCCCCAUAGAGAUGUAGGGUCAACUUUUGGGUUCCUUUGGGACCACAUUUGGGAUCCUUGGUGUUCCACCAUGUCCCAGUUGCUCCCCAUGGAGAUAUAGGGUCAACUUUUGGGUUCCUUUGGGACCACAUUUGGGAUCCUUGGUCGUCCAGUGUCUCCAAGUGUCUCCCCAUAGAGAUGUAGGGUCAACUUUUGGGGUCCUAUGGGACCACAUUUGGGAUCCUUGGUGUUCCACCAUAUCCCAAUUGUUCCCCAUGGAGAUAUAGGGUCAGCUUUUGGGACCGCAUUUGGGAUCCUUGGUGGUCCACCAUAUCCCACUGUCUCCCCAUGGAGAUGUAGGGUCAACUUUUGGGUUCCUUUGGGAUCCUUGGUGUUCCACCAUAUCCCAAUUGUUCCCCAUGGAGAUAUAGGGUCAGCUUUUGGGACCGCAUUUGGGAUCCUUGGUGUUCCACCAUAUCCCACCGUCUCCCCAUGGAGACAUAGCAUCAACUUUGGGUUCCUUUGGGACCACAUUUGGGCUCCUCAGAUGUCC